rnacentral:rRNA from 1 species
CUGCAUGAAGUCGGAAUUGCUAGUAAUCGCGGAUCAGCAUGCCGCGGUGAAUACGUUCCCGGGCCUUGUACACACCGCCCGUCACACCAUGGGAGCCGGUAAUACCCGAAGUCAGUAGUCCAACCUCGUGAGGACGCUGCCGAAGGUAGGAUUGGCGACCGGGGUGAAGUCGUAACAAGGUACC